CAAUAGCGUAUAUUUAAGUUGUUGCAGUUAAAAAGCUCGUAGUUGGAUUUCGGAUGGGAUCUGCCAGUCCGUCUUUGAGAUGUGUACUGGUAGGUCCUAUCUUGUUGUCGGGGACCAGCUCCUGGGCUUCACUGUCCGGGACUGGGAGCCGACGAAGUUACUUUGAGUAAAUUAGAGUGUUCAAAGCAGGCCUACGCUCUGAAUACAUUAGCAUGGAAUAACACGAUAGGACUCUGGCCUAUCUUGUUGGUCUGUAGGACCGGAGUAAUGAUUAAGAGGGACAGUCGGGGGCAUUCGUAUUUCAUUGUCAGAGGUGAAAUUCUUGGAUUUAUGAAAGACGAACUACUGCGAAAGCAUUUGCCAAGGAUGUUUUCAUUAA
rnacentral:rRNA from 1 species